ensembl:lncRNA
UGCAGUGAUCAGGGCAAGUGGGGAGAGAUGGAGCUGCAGAGCUAACCAGGAACCAGUGGGUAAAGAACUUCGAAUACCAUGAAUAGACUGUCCAAGAGCAACGCGGAACUGGGAAAGAGUUUUAAAGAAGGGGCUGGCAGGAUUGAUGAGUAGUUUUGAGGGGCAUCCUGGCAACAGCAUGGAGAAUAAUUUUGGGGAAGGAAGUCUGGAGGUGUGGCUGCAGACUGCAGGAGCAGAUGAGCUCAUAAGAAACAAAGAUUUGCUCUGCUGGAUGAUCUGUCUUCACUCAAGAACAAAGAGCAGCAGCAUAGAUGAGUUACCGUGUAAACAAAUCGAGCAAUCACUAACAUGUACAUCAGAGUGUGCUUUGUCAGCCAGUAUACACACCUCUCUCCAGCACGUCUGUCCUUUACCCUCGUGGAGGUAGUCAGCUGAAGAUCUAUUCUUCCUUCACUUCAAAUAAGGGACAAUCAUAAGAAUGUUCCACUCUUCUCACAGCCCCAAAGAAAACUUUCAUGAACAAUGGGAAUGGCAACCCACUCUAGUUGUCUUGCCUGGAGAAUCCCAUUGACAGAGGAGCCUGGUGGUCUACAGUCCAUGGGGUUGCAAAGAGUUGGACAUAACUGAGCAACUAACACUUGAUGUUAUUUAUCAAAGAAAAUGGAUCUUCCUGUAUUCCUCUCAAUCUGUGAACGAGAGGAAAUAAAACCAAAAAUAAACAAAUAGUCAAUUCAUCUGUGACAAAGGAAGCAAGAAUAUACAAUGGAGAAGAGUUGUCUCUUAAUAAGUGGUGCUGGGAAGACUGGACAACUACAUAUAAAAGAAUGAAAUUGGAACAUUCUCUAACACCAUAUACAAAAAUAAACUCAAAAUGGAAUAAAGACCUAAAUAUAAGGUUGGACACUGUAAAACUCCUAGAGGAAAACAUAGGCAGAACACUCUGACAUAACUUGCAUCAAUAUUUUUUUUGGAUCCAUCCACUAGAGUAAUGGAAAUAAAAGCAAAAAUAAAUGCAUGGGACCUAAUUAAACUUAAAAGUUUUUGCACAACAAAGGAAACCAUAAAUAAAACAAAAAGACAG